rnacentral:rRNA from 1 species
ACGAGGCCUCGUAAUCGGAAUGAGUACACUUUAAAUAUUUUAACGAGGAACAAUUGGAGGGCAAGUCUGGUGCCAGCAGCCGCGGUAAUUCCAGCUCCAAUAGCGUAUACUAAAAUUGUUGCGGUUAAAAAGCUCGUAGUUGCAUUUGUGCGCCGCGCUGUCGGUGCACCGCUUCCGCGGUGAUACUGACACGUUUGCGGAGCAUAUCGUCGGUGAGUCGGCGGUAAUACGCCGGUUCAAUAUCAAAAUCCUAUCGCGGUGCUCUUCAAUGAGUGUCGAGAUGGGCCGACAAUUUUACUUUGAACAAAUUAGAGUGCUCAAAGCGGGCUCAAAAUGCUGCUUGAAUAUUUCGUGCAUGGAAUAAUAGAAUAUGAUCUCGGUUCUAUUUUGUUGGUUUUCAGAACUCCGAGGUAAUGAUUAAUAGGGAUAACUGGGGGCAUUCGUAUUGCGACGUUAGAGGUGAAAUUCUUGGAUCGUCGCAAGACGAACAUCAGCGAAAGCAUUUGCCAAAGGUGUUUUCAUCAAUCAAGAACGAAAGUUAGAGGUUCGAAGGCGAUUAGAUACCGCCCUAGUUCUAACCGUAAAUAUGUCAUCUAGCGAUCCGCCGACGUUACUACAAUGGCUCGGCGGGCAGCUUCCGGGAAACCAAAGAUUUUGGACUCCGGGGGGAGUAUGGUUGCAAAGCUGAAACUUAAAGGAAUUGACGGAAGGGCACCACCAGGAGUGGAGCCUGCGGCUUAAUUUGACUCAACACGGGAAAUCUCACCAGGCCCGGACACCGGAAGGAUUGACAGAUUAACAGCUCUUUCUUGAUUCGGUGGGUGGUGGUGCAUGGCCGUUCUUAGUUGGUGGAGCGAUUUGUCUGGUUAAUUCCGGUAACGAACGAGACUCUAGCCUGCUAAAUAGGCGUCGUCAUUUAGGUGUGCGUGGCUCUGUCACGCAACUCACUGGCGACGUAUUAAAAUUCUUCUUAGAGGGACCGGCGUCUUCGAGGCGCACGAGAUUGAGCAAUAACAGGUCUGUGAUGCCCUUAGAUGUCCUGGGCCGCACGCGCGCUACACUGAAGGAAUCAGCAUGUUCUCCCUGGCCUAGAGGCCCGGGCAACCCGCUGAAACUCCUUCGUGCUGGGGAUUGGGGUUUGCAAUUAUCCCCCAUAAACGAGGAAUUCCUAGUAAGCGCGAGUCAUAAGCUCGCGUUGAUUACGUCCCUGCCCUUUGUACACACCGCCCGUCGCUACUACCGAUUGAAUGAUUUAGUGAGGUCUUCGGACCGACACGCGGUGGCUUCACGGCCGUCGGCGUUGCUGGGAAGUUGACCAAACUUGAUCAUUUAGAGGAAGUAAAAGUCGUAACAAGGUUUCCGUAGGG